GGGAGAAACCCAGGGGUUACUCGGCAUAUUCUUCCUUCUUUCUCACAAGCAUGGAACCGUCACUCUCCUCGGAAACCAUCGAGCGUUUGGAAGUAAGCAGCCUCGCCCAGACUUCCAGUGCCGUGGCCUCCAGCACCGAUGGCAGCAUCCACACAGAGUCUGUGGAUGGAAUACCAGAUCCUCAGCGCACAAAAGCUGCCAUUGCACACCUGCAGCAGAAGAUCCUAAAGCUCACAGAACAGAUCAAAAUUGCACAGACAGCCCGAGACGACAACGUUGCUGAAUACUUGAAGCUUGCCAACAGUGCAGACAAGCAGCAGGCUGCUCGCAUCAAAC
rnacentral:lncRNA from 1 species